UGCUUAACACAUGCAAGUCGAACGGUGAAAGCCAAGCUUGCUUGGUGGAUCAGUGGCGAACGGGUGAGUAACACGAUGAGCAACCUGCCCUGGACUCUGGGAUAAGCGCUGGAAACGGCGUCUAAUACUGGAUAUGAGCUCUCAUCGCAUGGUGGGGGUUGGAAAGAUUUUUCGGUCUGGGAUGGGCUCGCGGCCUAUCAGCUUGUUGGUGAGGUAAUGGCUCACCAAGGCGUCUGACGGGUAGCCGGCCUGAGAGGGUGACCGGCCACACUGGGACUGAGACACGGCCCAGACUCCUACGGGAGGCAGCAGUGGGGAAUAUUGCACAAUGGGCGGAAGCCUGAUGCAGCAACGCCGCGUGAGGGAUGACGGCCUUCGGGUUGUAAACCUCUUUUAGCAGGGAAGAAGCGAAAGUGACGGUACCUGCAGAAAAAGCGCCGGCUAACUACGUGCCAGCAGCCGCGGUAAUACGUAGGGCGCAAGCGUUAUCCGGAAUUAUUGGGCGUAAAGAGCUCGUAGGCGGUUUGUCGCGUCUGCUGUGAAAUCCCGAGGCUCAACCUCGGGCCUGCAGUGGGUACGGGCAGACUAGAGUGCGGUAGGGGAGAUUGGAAUUCCUGGUGUAGCGGUGGAAUGCGCAGAUAUCAGGAGGAACACCGAUGGCGAAGGCAGAUCUCUGGGCCGAAC
rnacentral:rRNA from 1 species